GGGCCCAUAGCUCAGCGGUAAGAGCGGCUGACUCAUAAUCAGUAGGUCCCUGGUUCAAAUCCAGGUGGGCCCA
rnacentral:tRNA from 3 species